AGCAGCGGCCGCCGCAUCCCCGGCAGGAGCUCGCGGCGCCAGUCACCAAGUCCUUCGAAAUCCUGCGCGGGCUCCCGCGCCUUUCCAGCCCCGGGGGCGUGGCGCGCGGCCCCGCCAGCCCCGCGAGCCCCGCGAACCCCGCGGGAGGGCAGUAGUAAUGAUGGAAAUCCUGUCCGCCUCCUUCCUCCGAGAGGUGUGUCUUGUUGCACAAAGAUCAGGAAAGGUUGGUUCUGAAGACAGACAUGGCCAAGACGUAAUAAGUCUCUUCCUUUACGAGGCGGUUUCUGUCCACCCGCCCUGCAAUAAGGCAGGAGACAUUCACACGAGCUCUAUCCCUGAUACAGGUGCGCCAAGGAAAUCACCCCUUCAAAGAACACCUGGAUUGUUGGCUGUGUUUGUGAGCCAGAGUGUUCCUUCUCUCUCGAGGCCCCACAGUUUUUGUGUACUCUGCUCUAUUGCAAACCUUGCAAAUCUUCCUCUCUGAGGGCCAGCCACAACCAAUCUGUCUCACCUAAAGCCUCGGCCAUUCCUAAGGUGCUUCAUUACAUUUUGUCUAGCUAAUCAAAUUCCCUUGGGAGUAGACUGGUCUUUCUAGCUCCCUUCCUCCAGUGCCCUCUUGGGGCUCUCAAACUGAGUAGAUUCUCACAAUUUCAAUGCAGUGAAUGGGGAGGCACACUAUAGAAUGAAAACAAGUUAAGAACAAUGGGCCAGUGGGGGAGGGCCUGUCUUAAAAUACCAAAACUUCCUUAAGAUAACAGGGCAGGGAUGCAGCACACCACCCUAAUGACACCUUAGCUUUAGGCAGGACUUGUAAAGCAAGCUCCCAAACAUCCAGGGGGCUUGGCUCUUUUGCUCCAGGGGAAGAGGUCAAGGAGAGAACUUUGGUCAACUCUGUCACCCUCACCUCCAAAGAGCAGGAUUCUGGCUUUAAGAACCACUGAAGGAUUUGGUGCUGCUGGGCUUUGGCACUGAAAGAAGACAUCCCCCAGAUGGUGGGUUGGGAGGUGAGAGACACAGAUCUAUCAGCACCAGGCACAAGUGGGCGGGCAGUGGUGACACAGCAGUGAGCCGGACAGCCUCAGCGCCUGCCCUCCUGGGGCUUGUAGUCCCACGGGAAGGAGAAACAACAAACACAUCACACAUGUGGAGGGGCAGGGAAGGAAAAGCCUACCGUGUGAUGGGACAAAGGAUCCUGGAGGGGGUGGGCAGGGAAGGGCCCCUGAUGAAGCACAUAGGAGGUUCAACUUAUUCAGGGUUCCUGAGGAAAGAAAGGGACGUUUUGACCUGUUGGGGGAACAGGGAGGACCUCGUGGCUGGAGCCAAGAAAGGUAACAGGAGAGUGGUUGAAACGAACCUGAAAAGGUGGGUCAGGGUCCAAGGCUGACCAGACUGUACAUCAUGAAAAAGUCUUUGGACAUUAUCUAUGGGCAACUGAAAGCCCCUAAAGGCUGUGAGGCAGGACCAGGACAGGAUGAGAUUUGUGUUUUAAAAUCUCUGUCUAGGGCUGUGAGGAAAAUGGAUUGGAAAGAACUAGCAUGGGUGUGGGGAGAUCAGUGAAGGGGCUGUUGCCAAAGUCCAGAGGAGAGAAGAUAGUGACUGGAACUUAGGUGGUGGGGAUGGAGAUGAAGAUACGGAUAUGAUGCAAGAAGCGUUUGGAAGGUAGAAUUGACAGGUCCUGGUGAUGGAUGCAUGGAGGGAAUGAGGAAGAGAAAAGCAUCAAGGAAGACUUGCAGGAAUCCAGCCUCAGCAACAGUGUGGAUUAGGGAGCCAUUUGAGAUUAAGAAACACUAGAGGAUGAGCAGAUUUGUGGAGGGAGAUGAAGAGUUCACUUCCACACAUGUCAAGUUUGAUAUAUCUUUAGUACAUUUAAGUGGAAAUCUAAAGUGGGCAAUUGGCUGUGUGGUUAUGAAGCUCAGAGGUGCAUUCUGAGCUAAAGACAUAAACUGAGGAGCCAUCAGUAUAUAGAUAGCAAUGGAAGCUAGAACAGCGGAUGUGAUCUCUGUUACAGGAAAAGAUAGGAAGAGAGUAUAGCA